rnacentral:rRNA from 1 species
UGCAAGUCGAACGAGGCCCACCCGGUGGCAACACCGGUGAAGGCCUAGUGGCGAACGGGUGAGUAACACGUGAGCAACCUGCCCCGAAGACCGGGAUAACGGCGGGAAACCGCUGCUAAUACCGGAUAUCCCCAUUAGACCGCAUGGUCAUAUGAGGAAAUGGAUUCCGCUUCGGGAGGGACUCGCGGCCUAUCAGCUAGUUGGUGGGGCAAUGGCCUACCAAGGCGUCGACGGGUAGCUGGUCUGAGAGGACGAUCAGCCACACUGGGACUGAGACACGGCCCAGACUCCUACGGGAGGCAGCAGUGGGGAAUCUUGCGCAAUGGGCGAAAGCCUGACGCAGCAACGCCGCGUGAGGGAUGACGGCCUUCGGGUUGUAAACCUCUUUCGAGCAGGGACGAUAGUGACGGUACCUGCAGAAGAAGCUCCGGCCAACUACGUGCCAGCAGCCGCGGUAAUACGUAGGGAGCGAGCGUUGUCCGGAUUCAUUGGGCGUAAAGAGCUCGUAGGCGGUUCGGUAAGUCGGAUGUGAAACCUCCAGGCUCAACCUGGAGUCGCCAUCCGAUACUGCCAUGACUAGAGUCCGGUAGGGGCCCACGGAACUCCUGGUGUAGCGGUGAAAUGCGCAGAUAUCAGGAAGAACACCGGUGGCGAAGGCGGUGGGCUGGGCCGGAACUGACGCUGAGGAGCGAAAGCGUGGGGAGCGAACAGGAUUAGAUACCCUGGUAGUCCACGCCGUAAACGUUGGGCACUAGGUGUGGGACCUUUCAACGGGUUCCGUGCCGUAGCUAACGCAUUAAGUGCCCC